AGAGUUUGAUCAUGGCUCAGGAUGAACGCUGGCGGCGUGCCUAAUACAUGCAAGUCGAACGAGGUGCCUUUGUAGCAAUACGAGGGUAUCCUAGUGGCGAACGGGUGAGUAACGCGUUGGUGACCUGCCCCGAAGUGUGGGAUAACAGUCCGAAAGGACUGCUAAUACCGCAUGCGGCCAUCGGGUUUAGAAACCGAUGUCCAAAGCAGCAAUGCGCUUUGGGAGGGACCUGCGUCCCAUCAGCUAGUUGGUAGGGUAACGGCCUACCAAGGCGACGACGGGUAGGGGACCUGAGAGGGUGACCCCCCACAAUGGAACUGAAAUACGGUCCAUACACCUACGGGUGGCAGCAGUAGGGAAUAUUGCACAAUGGGCGAAAGCCUGAUGCAGCAACGCCGCGUGCACGAUGAAGGUCUUCGGAUCGUAAAGUGCUUUUCUGGGAGAUGAGAAUGGACAGUAUCCCAGGAAUAAGUCUCGGCUAACUACGUGCCAGCAGCCGCGGUAAAACGUAGGAGGCAAGCGUUAUCCGGAUUCACUGGGCGUAAAGCGCGUGCAGGCGGCUCGGUAAGUUGGGCGUGAAAUCUCCUGGCUUAACUAGGAGAGGCCGUCCAAUACUACCGGGCUAGAGAGCAGUAGAGGAAGAUGGAAUUCCCGGUGUAGUGGUGAAAUGCGUAGAUAUCGGGAGGAACACCAGUGGCGAAGGCGAUCUUCUGGACUGUUUCUGACGCUCAGACGCGAAAGCUAGGGUAGUAAACGGGAUUAGAGACCCCGGUAAUCCUAGCCGUAAACGAUGUGAACUUGGCGUCGGUAGCUUAAACACUAUCGGUGCCGCAGCAAACGCGAUAAGUUCACCGCCUGGGGACUACGAUUGCAAGAUUAAAACUCAAAUGAAUUGACGG
rnacentral:rRNA from 1 species